UUAUCCGGAUUUACUGGGUGUAAAGGGAGCGUAGACGGUUUUGCAAGUCUGAAGUGAAAGCCCGGGGCUUAACCCCGGGACUGCUUUGGAAACUGUAGGACUAGAGUGCAGGAGAGGUAAGUGGAAUUCCUAGUGUAGCGGUGAAAUGCGUAGAUAUUAGGAGGAACACCAGUGGCGAAGGCGGCUUACUGGACUGUAACUGACGUUGAGGCUCGAAAGCGUGGGGAGCAAACAGGAUUAGAUACCCUGGUAGUCCACGCCGUAAACGAUGAUUACUAGGUGUUGGUGGGUAUACCCAUCGGUGCCGCAGCAAACGCAUAAGUAAUCCACCUGGGGAGUACGUUCGCAAGAAUGAAACUCCAAGGAAUUGACGGGGACCCGCUCAAGCGGUGGA
rnacentral:rRNA from 1 species